rnacentral:tRNA from 3 species
AGGGGAGUAGCUCAGCUAGGUAGAGCACCGGUCUCCAAAACCGGGGGUCGCAGGUUCGAUCCCUGUCUCCCCUG